rnacentral:lncRNA from 1 species
AUGGGUCCAGUUCGGGACUCAAAAUGUCCCUCAGACAUUUUUGGAUGUUCAAGGGCCAGGAACCGACUGUAUUUAGAGGAGAUAAACUCAUCAAGUUUUGAGGGUGGAAAUGCUGUCUCUGGCCUCCAGUCCACUGUUGUAGAAGUGGCAUUGCACAGGGAAACAUCUCACCAACACUGAAGAGAUUCCAUCUGAUGGUUUAUUUGCUCCAGACACAACUAGGAAAAAAGUGAUUUUCCCAAUUUUAGCUAUAAUCUGGCCUAUUUCACCCCAAUCAAGGAAAGUCUUUUGCCCUUAUGUCCCCUCACUUUGUCUCCUAGAUGAUUUCUAAGACAGCUACUGCUGAUGGAUCCCUCCUCACACCACUGAUACAUGAGCAUCCCCUUGUUAUAACUCAUCUACACCUCUCAGUCAAAGUCAAAAUCAUCUGAAACAUUCACAAUCCAGCCUGGAAACAUCUCCUUGGCUCCAGGCUUCCUGGCUCUAUAGUCUGGAAAGAAGCAUUAUCACUGAAGAGCAUCCAAAAAUGUGUAAAUUUUCCCAUAUAAGGCAUCUCUGGGAAGUUGUCAGAGUGAGCAUCCUUUUGGGAGCAAUCACUUGAGAUCCAUCCCAUAUAACCCUGCACAAUGCACAGAGGCACGGGUAAAUAUCCUGGACACCCUGUCAGGGAGGAGCUGGCCACCUUUUAGCCAUCCCAGGGAACCCAAAAAGACAGCUAAGGAAAGCCAGCCUGCAGUCAAGAGAUGGGAAUUUUCUCCUCAGGGUCUUCAUCUCCAGUGUGAAAUAUCUACAGGGUCUGGCAUUCAAAGAAGGGCUUGAAACCUCUACUGUGAAAUCACCAGAGAGAAAUACAGCUCCUUGGGCUGGAUUUGGAUUUCAGGGAAUUACACUGCACUCUUCAGAGGGUCCCCUGUCCUCUGGUGGCUCUAGGGGAGCAGGUGGUGACUCAGUUUUAAUGUUGCAACUCUGUUAAUUGUCCAAAUAAUCCAACUUGCUCGAAUUUGGGGCUUCACAAAGGUUCAGCUCACUUUUAAAAUCAAAAUUUGGCAAAGAGGGUGACAGCAAAAGCUCACUGCUCUGCCUGUCUGACAUCAUCUUGGCAAUUCCCAGGGGUAUAUUGCAGUACCACAGAAUUUGGUGAGGGCUUUUUUUUUUUUUUUUUUUUUAAUCUCCAAGUGUUUAAAUGAUAAGAGAGUUGCUUCUUUCUAUCUUCCUUGUGUUCCUUCUCAUUACAGGAAAAAGCUGAA